CUUGAUGAUGCAUAGCAGAGAAAUAUGAGUAUAAUUUGAUUUUUAACUACAAGAGAUUAUACAACAUCGAAAUGUAUUCAUCGGACAACAAUUUACUGUUAGUGUUUGACGUGUGCAAAGUUUUCAAGGAAGUGAGUCUAAUUGUUUCUGGUAAUAACCGAGCGAAGCUAUUCUGGCGAAAUUCUUAAGAUACUUUAUACACAAAAAUAAGAUGAUAAUCAACAGCCUAAACAGCUAAGUUUACAAUACACAUACUUAAUUGUAAGAUGUACUAUAAAUAAUUAUCGUUCGCUAUUCUUAAUUUUUAUGAUGGGUCGUUUGACGUCAUUGAAGACGUUGUUCUGUCAUCCCAGAUAGUUUGAAUUUAUAACAAGUUUGUCAAGACGAGCAAACAAUUAAUAUAAUUGUUCCCAGUGAAUAGAAACAUCAAGGUUUUACUCAGCCGUUACCCUGAAAUUAAUCGUUGAUAAAAAAAUUGUAACUUUAAAAUUGUUUAGAACACUUUCGCUUCAUUCAAAUUCUAAAAGAUUUCUCAUGGUCAUCGAUAAAUUAUUAAAUAUAUCGUCUCUCGUUUUUUCACUUCUUUACUCGUCGUUUUCUAUUCAUGUUUCAGGGUACCUCAUUCUUAGUAUUAUUCGCAAUUACAAACUAUUACGAGCAUUAUUUUUCUCCUUCUUGUGGUGAGAUCACAAAUUUUAAUAUUACAUUAACUGAACAUCAGUUUCGCAACUCACAUCAAAAGAUUAUACAUUCAAUAGAUCACGCCACGUAACAUUUAAUCUACACUUCAAUUUUGUAAAUAAUAAUAACAACACCAACAAUGCUAAUAAUAAUGUUAACAACAAAUAUCACGUGUCUCCUUAGCAUUGACUUUGAAUGAUAAAAAUAAAAUUAAAUAUUAUGUAAUAAAA